rnacentral:rRNA from 1 species
GAUGAACGCUAGCGGCAGGCUUAAUACAUGCAAGUCGAGCGAAGUGGUAACACUUAGUGGCGCACGGGUGCGUAACACGUAUGCAACCUACCUAUCGUUGGGGGAUAACUUUGAGAAAUCAGGGCUAAUACCGCAUAAAACAGCGUUACUGCAUGGUAAUGCUGUUAAAGUUACGGCGACGAUAGAUGGGCAUGCGUCCGAUUAGGUAGUUGGCGAGGUAACGGCUCACCAAGCCGACGAUCGGUAGGGGAUCUGAGAGGAUAAUCCCCCACACUGGCACUGAGAUACGGGCCAGACUCCUACGGGAGGCAGCAGUAGGGAAUAUUGGACAAUGGGCGCAAGCCUGAUCCAACCAUGCCGCGUGAGUGAAGAAGGCC